GCACUGCUGAGGAGACCCACAACAGGACGAAACGACCGUCCAGUGC
rnacentral:hammerhead_ribozyme from 1 species